AACUGGUCUGAAGGUAGUUAUCACAAAGGUAGUUCACAGUUAGUUACAGAUUGAACUCCUUGUUCUACUCCUUUCCCCUUCUUAUUACUGCAUAUGACUAGGUUUUA
ensembl:misc_RNA Y_RNA Y RNA